GUGAAUCAUCGAAUCUUUGAACGCAAAUUGCACUCACUCCGGAGAGGAUGACUGUAUGAGGGUCAGCGUAAAAAAAAUCGACAUAGUCUCCGUUUCGCGGUGGCAGUUGUCGGAAAUUGGGACACUUAAAACCUUUGUGUGAUUUAAGCGGCUUAAAAUUUUCUUUACGAUUCCACGAACGUUUCUAAGAUUUUA
rnacentral:misc_RNA from 1 species